rnacentral:lncRNA from 1 species
GAUUUUUUUUCCAUUUAAAAUUCAUAUUCUAAAGAAGGCUAAAUUGUCAUAAUAUCUAAGGGAAAAAUUGUAUUCACCACCAGGGAACGAAGCAAAGUUAUUGCCUACCUUCUUUGAAAGGCAUUUUUUUUUAACCUAUCCUGUCAGGAGACACCCAGUAGAAUAUAUUACGAUGUUGCUUUUUCCUGACCAUAAUAAUACACCUCUACAGAGGUGAGUAAAAAUAGAAACUUGACUUAAUGGAUAUCAAAUAACUUUUUCUGGCUACUCCUGAGCCAGAUUACUGCUGUUUAUAAUACCACAAAUUAAAGGCAUGCAAUUAUCCAACCAAAACAGUGUGGAUAUUUCACCAUUUUUAAAGACUGACUACCACAUAGCCAUUGCCCAGCAGACUCUAGCCAAAAACCACAGUGUGGAUCCACAAAUAAAGCUGUCAACCUUUGCAUUUCAAAGGCAUCUUUCUUAGAGAGCUCAGCAUGCUCUGGGCAGAAGUGAAACAGGCUUGGUGAAUAGCAAGGAGCCUGCCCACUGGAUGAGCUCAUGGGCCAGCGGUGGAAUCUGUCUGCGUCUCAGCACUGUGGCUAGGUAAUCCAGAUUUCUUUUCAUUGCGGGGGAUGUGUGAGAAUUGAUGCCCUAUUUGAAGAAAACCAGCCACUGUCCACACCGAGGGUCCUCCCUCCCUGGAAGCCCCCAAAUACAUAGGAAACAGGGUAAGACAUGCUAAGGAAAUUCAGUUCAAACACUUGCACACAACACUACAAAGGUGGAGAUCUUACAAGAAUACCGUGGAUAAAGUUUCUGCCCUACGGAAUUGUCACUGUAAAUAUCCUACCUAAAUAGAUGCACCCCAAAGAGAUUCACAGCACAGACCCAGCUGCACGUCGGUUCAACUGUCCUUCUCCUAUUCUGUAACGUUAAGAACAAAGGUCAGUGUCAUACUUUCUCUUAUCUGCUUCAUCUCUCACACUGAUACAGACUGUGGGCUGAAGAAAGAAGCAAAAGAAUUGUCUCUCACUUCCUCCCUCCACGUACCAAACCCGGGGCUCACUGAAGCGCAUUAUUUCUGGACAUAACCCUAAGUCAGUCAUUCAGGGAGAGAAGCCGCAUCCGAACAGCUGUUCUCUUGCCUACAGAACAACUUCCAGGCCAUAGCAGAGGGGUUCUGGUUCAACUUCCUUGUAGGUGACCAUAUAAUGAGGAACAACAGGGCGGUGAAUAGGAAUGAUGUGGGAGGAAGAUUUAUUCCAAUCUGCACCACUGUGAGACUCAUGAAGGAGAAUGAGAUCUAUUGACUUCUUUUGAAUCAAGAUAUGGAGGGAAAGCCCAAGGCAAUGCUAUGAAAUAGGUGAAAAGGCCUUUGGUCCCUUGCUCCUAUAGCCGGUGCUGUGUAACCAACAGGGACUCUCAUCAGUCUGUUCCACACACAAUCCUUCCCUUCUUCCCUCUCCGGGCAACUGACCCGCAGACAGGUGGCCACCAGGCUGCUCUGAGCCAGUGUGUUCCGGGAGUUAAUGGGCUAGUAACCAGCUCGUCAGGGUGACAUACUGUGUUUCAGUGGAGGCUUUGUGUAGUACGGUUUCUUAAAGGAGUGAGAGGUGGAAUUUCGGACUCCUUGGCAGACCUGUGGGAGAGAUUUGGGGGGUGGAGGGGAGAGUCUUAGUAAUAUUUCAUUCCUGCCAGGUAGGCCACCACCUACCACACCUAUAGGUAAGGGGGGUUCACCUAAUCUUGGUGCCAAGCAUGGAACUUUUCAUUUCAAGGCACUCUCUGCACUUGCUUGAUCACUUGUUUUUCAAUCUGCAACUUAAAAGUUGAAUGAAAAGUAUUAUGAACCAUUGCAUUUUCAUGUUGAAACCAUCUAAAGAUGGCAAAUAUCUCUACUCUUAGAAAAAGUCCCUACUUUGACUAACCCAUGGGUGGAGAAGGAGAAAAUUACUAUUUGCUUUUGCUUAGAAAUGUGAGCCUGUUUGGAUCUCUCAGGUUUCCAUAAAACUGACAAAUCAGAAAAUGAGUUAGCUGUAGGAGAUAAGGUAUUCUGUGUAUAAAUAUUUAGGGGCGCGAUGUGAGCACUAUGCUAGAAUUUCAAAAAUGGUUAAAAUCAUGAUGGCAAAUUCUCAACUGCUGUGAAAACAAACAAGAUACAGCUUGCUGAAUGGGAAAUGAACAAUCUUUAAAUGCUGUGUUAUUCGAGAAUGCUGCCCUAGUGCAUUGUACUUACUUAAAAUGAGCCAGUAACAAAGAAUCACAGAAUGUUAAAGCCAGAAGCUGCCUUAAACUUCAUCUAAUAUUACAUCCUCAUGAGAAACCUGAGACCCAGAGGGUCCCCAAAAGUUGAUUUGUAAGUUGCUUAUUUGGAACUUGGAGCAUUUUCUCAUAGAAAUAAUGUGAUAAAUGAUGGUUAGAGCCCAAAAAACCUCGCCCCCCCGCCACCUUAUUACACAGUACUGUAUGCUUGGACACUAUUGUUUUCUGUCUUCACUGCAAGUGUACACCAUUAACCUACAUUCCUGGUUAAUAUGAGCAGUUGACAUAACAUCACGUCAGAAGGAAGACACAGCCCCUAGAAAUGGGCCAUCUGAUGCCUAGAUACAAAACACCUCCAACUCUCUGUAAAGGUUAGAAUAUUUUUGGUUCCAAGACACCAAAACUCUUCUCUAAGUAGAUUGAACAAUGAGGACGUUCAUGUGUUUGUGUAAAUGGAAGUUAGAGUGGGGCGAGCUGCAGAGUUGGGUUAACCCAGGAUCUCCGGCUCCGUUUCUCUGCCACUCCCUUCUACGUGCUUUACCCAUUUGUUGAUUUCAUCUUUAGGUCACUUCUCUCAGGUGGCAAAAGGACUGUGGUGGUUCUUGUACAUCCUGUAAUGGCAUCCAGAAGAAGAGAGAGAAAACCGUGGCCACAGGAUUCCAAUCAGGAAUCCUGAGGAUCACCUUGAUUGGAUCCCAUAAGUCAUAUGCCCACCCCUGAACCAAUAGCCUUAGCUUGAGAGUGGAAUGGGCUGAGUCAGUUAAGCCAACCAAGCAUUAGGGGUGAGAUCAUCUCCCCUCAAAGUAUGGGUGAUGAUGUAAACUAAAAGGAAAAUGUGGGUCCACUGAGAUGUGUGAAGGGGAGAAAAUGGAUAGAAACCAACAAUAUCCACUAAACCAUCUUUCCCUGUUGACCCCAGCCCCAGCCCCUGAGGGAAGGUAUUAUGUGGCAUGGUGGAGCUAAGGAAGCUGGAUUAGCAGGGGCAGGCACACAAGUGUAGAUCAGAAGGAGGAAGUGGAAAUGUUCUACUUCUGUUCACUCCAUCCUAGAGCACACGCUACCUCCAUCCUCUAGAAGCCCCAGACCAUGUAUUCCCACUCUGUGUCUCAAGUCCUAACUACUGAGACCUUCACUCCAGCUUAGAACUUUUGGAUCUGCAACCACUACUAGAAAGGAAAAUAUCAAAAGAAAAAUAUACCUUUUCUUGCAUCAUUUAGAAGUGCCUACAUGUCUUCUGUUUCCUUUCUAUCCCACUUCCUUGUCGAAGGGAAACUUAAAGGCCCUAGAAAUAUGACUCAUUCUUUGUCCCCUGACAAAAUCGCUUUGGUACCCACUGAUUUCCCAGCAUGCUUUGGGAUGAAACUAUGGUGGCUUUGAAUCCACUUUUGAUGAUCUGCCUUUAGUCACUCACGCAUUGAGAACUGCAAGGUUAACCGUGAGGUUAUCUAAACAAAUGUACAAAGAAAGUGGCAUUAACACUGCUUUCACAAUUACCCUCACAUUAAUAAAAGUACAUUUACCCAACUCUCUUCAGAGUAUCCUCUUUUUGACUAAUAGUGAUUCCAGUGUUCAUUCAUGAGCCAUCAAGCUGGAAAAUGUAAUAAAUAGACUCGUGAUUGGAAAAUAAGCUGGAAUUGGAUUCAUGACAAUCAAUGAAAACACAAAAAUAAAAUAAAGAAAGGGUCAGUUACUCAGGCUUCUCAGCAAAAUUGUCCCACAUAAAGAUUGAUUUCAAUCUCACUCCCACGGUACUCCGAAAAUCCCGUUUUCUAAAAUGGUGGUUUCCCGCUGAAAGACUGGCUCAUAGCCCAGGCCUCUAUCUCUAGAGCUUUCCACAGAGUUCCAAGUAAUGCAGGCUUUGCUUGACUGGAAGCCUGGAAAUAACAGUCCUAUUAAGGGUUAAAUUUUAAAUAGUUUAGGUAUAGUAUUGCGAUAAUAAUAACACUUUAGGUGUUCGUAGUGGCUCACGGUCAUGUGAAAUGCUGACGUAAUAAAUCGCUGCACGUGCUGUCUGCAGGAUUUGAAGGAUGUCUGCUGUGGGUGCCGAGCAGGCUUCCAGUCUGACACCUGGCCCGCACUCGCUGAGGGGGAUACACAGUGGCAGGAAAAGACAAGCACUAGAAUGGGAUUUUCUUUGUGAUAAUGGCAAAUAACUUUUUUAAGCUUGAUUUUCCUUAUGUAUUAUUUGUAAAAAUGAAGUUUUUGUUUCAGAGUGAGGCAAAUAUAUUCCUGAGUAGAAGUGAAUGUUAAUUUUUUUUUAAAGUACUCUAUCCUUUUGGCUGAUUCCUCUCCCAAAUAUUUUCUCCUCUUAACUAGCAUGAUUUUAUCUUUUAUAAAGACAAAAUAGGUUUUAAUGUUGGGC